AACCGCCGUAUGCCGAACGGCUUGUACGGUGGUGUGAGAGGACGGGGGCGCAACGCCCCCUCCUACUCGAU
rnacentral:misc_RNA from 1 species